CCUACGGGUGGCAGCAGUGAGGAAUAUUGGUCAAUGGACGAGAGUCUGAACCAGCCAAGUAGCGUGAAGGAUGACUGCCCUAUGGGUUGUAAACUUCUUUUAUAUGGGAAUAAAAUGUUCCACGUGUGGGAUUUUGUAUGUACCAUAUGAAUAAGGAUCGGCUAACUCCGUGCCAGCAGCCGCGGUAAUACGGAGGAUCCGAGCGUUAUCCGGAUUUAUUGGGUUUAAAGGGAGCGUAGGUGGAUUGUUAAGUCAGUUGUGAAAGUUUGCGGCUCAACCGUAAAAUUGCAGUUGAAACUGGCAGUCGUGAGUACAGUAGAGGUGGGCGGAAUUCGUGGUGUAGCGGUGAACUGCUUAGAUAUCACGAAGAACUCCGAUUGCGAAGGCAGCUCACUGGACUGCAACUGACACUGAGGCUCGAAAGUGUGGGUAUCAAACAGGAUUAGAUACCCCGGUAGUC
rnacentral:rRNA from 1 species